UACCAGAUUCAUCAUCAAAUU
rnacentral:piRNA from 1 species